UACGUAGGGGGCAAGCUUUGUCCGGAUUUAUUGGGCGUAAAGGGCGUGUAGGCGGCUAGGUAGGUCCGUUGUGAAAACUCGAGGCUCAACCUCGAGACGUCGAUGGAAACCAUCUAGCUAGAGUCCGGAAGAGGAGAGUGGAAUUCCUGGUGUAGCGGUGAAAUGCGCAGAUAUCAGGAAGAACACCCGUGGCGAAGGCGGCUCUCUGGUACGUGACUGACGCUGAGACGCGAAAGCGUGGGGAGCGAACAGG
rnacentral:rRNA from 1 species